rnacentral:rRNA from 1 species
CAAUAGCGUAUAUUAAAGCUGUUGCGGUUAAAAAGCUCGUAGUUGGAUUUCUGCUGAGAACGACCGGUCCGCCCUUUGGGUGUGUAUCUGGCUCUUUCUUGGCAUCUUCUUGGUGAACGUUGCUGCACUUGACUGUGUGGAGCGCUACCCAGGACUUUUACUUUGAGGAAAUUAGAGUGUUUCAAGCAGGCAUACGCCUUGAAUACAUUAGCAUGGAAUAAUAAGAUAGGACCUCGGUUCUAUUUUGUUGGUUUCUAGAGCUGAGGUAAUGAUUAAUAGGGAUAGUUGGGGGCAUUCGUAUUUAACUGUCAGAGGUGAAAUUCUUGGAUUUGUUAAAGUCGGACUACUGCGAAAGCAUUUGCCAAGGAUGUUUUCAUUGA